UAGAGAACACUUGCUAGAGAAUCUUCUCCUUUUGGGGUCUUUCACUGUCCUGGAUUUUAGACUGUCCUGGAUUUCUUCGGUCUCUGAUUCUGGAACUUCAAAUCCUUGUUCCUGAGACCAAUGACAACAGGCUGAAGCUAUAACUAGACUUACACCAGGCAAGAAAGACCCACUGGGAAGACGAUGGAAUGAAGAAACCAAGCUUUCCACAUUCCUUUGACUAAGCACCCAGGGCUAACAGUUUACCCGGAAAUGUCGGUACCUUGCCUAAGCUAUAAUGCUCCAACACUUCUAACAUAAGAACCUGUAUAUUGCAAGCAGAUUUCCAGGCCCUCUUUCACAAGAAGAAGCAAUGAAAAGGUAAAGAGGAAGAUUGAGAAAAGGAAAAGGGAUUGGCUACAGCUGUUGUCUUUGGUGUAAGACCUAAGACACAGAUUGGUCUGAG